rnacentral:rRNA from 1 species
GACGAACGCUGGCGGCGUGCUUAACACAUGCAAGUCGAGCGAGGCCCCUUCUUCGGGAGGGUGUUCUAGCGGCGAACGGGUGAGUAACACGUGGGCAACCUGCCCUCAGCUCUGGGAUAACUCCAAGAAAUUGGGGCUAAUACCGGAUAUGACCGCUGACCGCAUGGUCUGGUGGUGGAAAGAUUUAUCGGCUGGGGAUGGGCCCGCGGCCUAUCAGCUUGUUGGUGGGGUAGUGGCCACCAAGGCGACGACGGGUAGCCGGCCUGAGAGGGUGACCGGCCACACUGGGACUGAGACACGGCCCAGACUCCUACGGGAGGCAGCAGUGGGGAAUAUUGCGCAAUGGGCGAAAGCCUGACGCAGCGACGCCGCGUGGGGAUGACGGCCU